AUAAAUCAGUUGAGAACAUUUGGAACGCAAAAUAUUUCGAAUUCUGAAAAUAAGAUGAAUUACAUGGCUAGUACAUUAGUAAACGUUGUGUCAACAGUCAACACGAGUACGUCAACAAGACGAAAGGAACUAUCGAUAAUCCAUCUUUCACAAAAUUACCAAAAGUUAUUCAUUGGAGUAGGGUCUAUCCAAAUUGCUAUCGGUGUUGCAACUACAAUUUUCGAGGGAAUAGAUGAAUCUAGAUAUAUUAAUGAAAUCUACCCCUACUAUCGUUCUGUCAUAUGGAGUGGAGGUUUGUACAUCAUCUCUGAUAUUCUCGGGAUCGUUAUUGCAAUGAAACCUACAAAGCGAAAACUGAAUACCGCUGUAGUGGUGUCAUGUUUUACUUGUAUUGGGUCGAUUGCUGCUUUCGGAGUAUCUGUGGGAAAUCUCAAAUGGUUUUCAUGGGUCUGCCAUCAACCAGUUCAACGAUACUGUGUGAUAUUCGGAAUAUACUAUGCUUAGCUCUGGCUUUCUUGUAGGGAAUGUGCUCGGUUUGACACUCAUACAAUGCUGCGCCUACUACUCUGUGUUGAAUAAAAAACGGAACAGUACCAGCGGAACCGUUUCCUCUGCAAUGACCUAUGUAAAUCAAAACACGAUAACACCGCAACAGCCAUCUGAUAACUCUUAUUUGUAAUAAUUAUGGCUGGAAAUUUCAGGGAAAACACUUUAACCGUUAACCAGGUAAAAUUGACCGGUUAACCGCAACGUAACGUUUGACGUAAUAAGUUAUGGUUUAAGCAAGUUUGGUCCCAUAUCAUUUAUGUGACAGAACAUUCAGUGUUUGAUGUGCAACUUCUACUUUGAAGAAAAAAAAAACAGUAUCACCUCCGGUCAGGAGAUACCAGCUCUCCGUGUUACGAGCUACCGAGACUACAAAGACUUAUAGGGAAGAAUUCGACUUAUAGGGAAGAAGUUUGUAAAUGCCAAGUUACGCGUCACUUUUAAAGCAGUUCUUGUCAAAUACGGCUAGAAAAAAAUCUUCGAGAUAGUGAAUUCUAUAUAACUGAAGAUGUUAGGAAACUUUGGACAUAAAGUUUGUUUUGUAUGGCUAAUACAUUGACGGUAAAUAGAAACAUUCAAACUUUCCACAAUGUUUCAAAAUGUUCCGAUUUAAUUUUAUCGACAUGCAUCAUGAAACACUGCUUUUGAAAUUUUAAAUUUGUAAUGAAAUUUUACUUUUACAAGAAUUUUAUUUCACAAAACAUGAAACUAUUCAACUAACUAUCAAUACAAUUUUUCUUAACACCAGCAACGGGGCCCAUACACAAAAAUAUGAAAAAAUCGACCGUAUUAACCUCCUAAGAAGGAUCCGCCAUCAUUUUCGAUGUAUAUUUAAAAGGGUUGGUUCAGUAGUUACAAUGAUAUUUUUGUCCCAACAACAAGUCGUCAGGCUAAUAAUUGAAUUGCGUAAGUCAUUUUUGGCGGUUUUGAGUUUUAUAAAAUAGGUAUUUAUGUAAUGCUGCGCACUUGUCUGUUAACUCAGAUUUUGUUUUAGGAAUUCCGAAACCCUUAAAAAUUGAA